GGUGAGGUGGCUGAGUGGCCUAAAGCGGCAGUUUGCUAAACUGUUGACGGGUAAAACCGUCCGGAGGUUCGAAUCCUCUCCUCACCG
rnacentral:tRNA from 1 species